GAUUAACGCUGGCGGCGUGCAUAACACAUGCAAGUCGAACGAUGAAACUUUAAUGAACCCUUCGGGGAGAAUUAAAGCGGAUUAGUGGCGAACGGGUGAGUAACGCGUGAGUAACCUGCCUUACACAAGGGGACAGCCUUUGGAAACGAAGAAUAAUACCCUAUAAAACCAUAAAAGCACAUGCAAUUAUGGUCAAAGUGAUAGCGGUGUAAGAUGGACUUGCGUCUGAUUAGCUAGUUGGUGAGAUAAAAGCCCACCAAGGCAACGAUCAGUAGCCGGCUUGAGAGAGUGUACGGCCACAUUGGGACUGAGACACGGCCCAGACUCCUACGGGAGGCAGCAGUGGGGAAUUUUGCACAAUGGGGGAAACCCUGAUGCAGCGACGCCGCGUGAUUUAGAAGGCCUUCGGGUUGUAAAAAUCUUUUGUAUAGGAAGAAAAUGACAGUACUAUACGAAUAAGGUCCGGCUAAUUACGUG
rnacentral:rRNA from 1 species